GACGAACGCUGGUGGCAUGCCUAAUACAUGCAAGUCGAGCGAACAGAUGAAGUGCUUGCACUUCUGACGUUAGCGGCGAACGGGUGAGUAACACGUAAGGAAUCUACCUAUAAGCGGGGGAUAACAUUCGGAAACGGGUGCUAAUACCGCAUAAUAUCUUCUUCCGCAUGGAAGAAGAUUGAAAGACGGCUCUGCUGUCACUUAUAGAUGACCUUGCGGUGCAUUAGUUAGUUGGUUGGGUAAUGGCCUACCAAGACGAUGAUGCAGAGCCGACCUGAGAGGGUGAUCGGCCACAUUGGGACUGAGACACGGCCCGAACUCCUACGGGAGGCAGCAGUAGGGAAUCUUCCGCAAUGGGCGAAAGCCUGACGGAGCAAUGCCGCGUGAGUGAAGAAGGCCUUCGGGUCGUAAAACUCUGUUAUAAGAGAAGAACAAAUUGUAGAGUAACUGCUACAGUCUUGACGGUAUCUUAUCAGAAAGCCACGGCUAACUACGUGCCAGCAGCCGCAGUAA
rnacentral:rRNA from 1 species